GAGUCAGAGGCAAAAUUAAUUGAUCUAAAAACAUCAAUGCGAAGUCUUCAAGAAAAGUUGUCUAACAUGGAAUCUGAGAAUCAAGUACUACGACAGCAAGCUUUAAUGCUUGCAUCUGCCAAAAAUAUACCUUCUACCACAUCAAAACAAAAUAUGGAUAAUAUUUCC